rnacentral:rRNA from 1 species
CCUGACUGCUAUCGGAUUGAUACUAAGCCAUGCGAGUCUUUGCAGUAAUGCAAGGCAUACGGCUCAGUAACACGUAGUCAACUUACCCUAUGGACGAGGAUAAUCUCGGGAAACUGAGCAUAAUACUCGAUAGAUCAUAAUGCCUGGAAUGGUUUAUGGUUGAAAUGAUUCGUCGCCAUAGGAUGGGACUGCGGCCUAUCAGCUUGUUGGUGAGGUAAUGGCCCACCAAGGCGAUUACAGGUACGGGCUCUGAGAGGAGAAGCCCGGAGAUGGGUACUGAGACAAGGACCCAGGCCCUAUGGGGCGCAGCAGGCGAGAAAACUUUGCAAUGUGCGAAAGCACGACAAGGUUAAUCCGAGUGAUUUCUGCUAAAGAAAUCUUUUGCAAGUCAUAAAACCACUAGUGAAUAAGGGGUGGGCAAGUUCUGGUGUCAGCCGCCGCGGUAAAGCCAGCACCUCAAGUGGUCAGGAGGAUUAUUGGGCCUAAAGCAUCCGUAGCCGGCUCUGUAAGUUUUCGGUUAAAUCCAUGUGCUCAACGCAUGGGCUGCCGAAAAUACUGCAUAGCUAGGGAGUGGGAGAGGUAGACGGUACUCGGUAGGAAGGGGUAAAAUCCUUUGAUCUAUCGAUGACCACCUGUGGCGAAGGCGGUCUACCAGAACACGUUCGACGGUGAGGGAUGAAAGCUGGGGGAGCAAACCGGAUUAGAUACCCGGGUAGUCCCAGCUGUAAACGAUGCAGACUCGAUGAUGCAUUGGCAUAUAGCCAGUGCAGUGUCGCAGGGAAGCCGUUAAGUCUGCCGCCUGGGAAGUACGUACGCAAGUAUGAAACUUAAAGGAAUUGGCGGGGGAGCACCACAAGGGGUGAAGCCUGCGGUUC